rnacentral:tRNA from 1 species
GCCAACGUGGCUCAGGUGGUAGAGCAACGCACUCGUAAUGCGUAGGUCGCCGGUUCGAGUCCGGCCGUUGGCU